UAAUCUAAGUUGGCUUGAGGGGGGCAGCAGAAUUGACUAAACUGUCACCACUUCCUUUUUCACCUCCACACAGCUUCGUCUGCUCAGGCCGAUCAGUAACAAGAUGCAUUUUAAGCUAUUCAGCUGCACAAUGGUGUCUGGUAGCUGGUUUAAAAUAAUAGCUGUGGUUGGAAUACUGAUGGUGGUACUGGAGGUAUCCUGGGGUGCAGAAACUUACUGUGAUUUCAGAAAAGAUGGAGCUCAGUGUUUGGGAUCUUUGGGGGGAACAGUCCUCCUCCAGCUGAU